rnacentral:lncRNA from 1 species
AUGUGAUCCUCACGAUGUCGCCGCACGACCAUCCGAAAUCGUAUCGCGAUCGCCGGAAUUUCCAUCUUCGGCCAACGCUCGCCGCACGAGCGUCCCGGUACGAUUGCAUGGCUUUAUGGCUCAACCAGCGAACCCCGGAUUUUGUGGUGUAAUCCGAAAACCUCCCUUGACGUCCUCUCGCCGUGUAGCCAGGUACAGUAGACGUACACCGCACGAUCGCCUGUCCCUCGAACGCGAGCCUUGAUCCACCCUUCACCGUCCCACGGUUCGUCGGCAUGGGAUCCUAUCCCCGUUCUUCACUCGUCGCCGCAUGU